rnacentral:rRNA from 1 species
UACGAAGGGGGCUAGCGUUGCUCGGAAUCACUGGGCGUAAAGCGCACGUAGGCGGCUUCUUAAGUCAGGGGUGAAAUCCUGGAGCUCAACUCCAGAACUGCCUUUGAUACUGAGGAGCUAGAGUCCGGAAGAGGAGAGUGGAAUUCCUGGUGUAGCGGUGAAAUGCGCAGAUAUCAGGAAGAACACCAAUGGCGAAGGCAGCUCUCUGGGAACGGUACUGACACUGAGACGCGAAAGCGUGGGGAGCGAACAGG